CAGACGCAUGAUAGGUAAAGGAAGAGAGAUCGAGGGCAUCCUGUGUGUGUGGCGUUAUGGAAGACAUAGCACCUUAUCGACAACGAUGAUACAGAGGGUCCAUUUAGGUCUGCAGCUGCUCAGAGGGGUCCCUCAAGGAAGAUAUGGGUAGACACAAGAAGCAGGCAGUCACCAGUCCGAAGAACUCUUGGCUAUUAAGGGUUCAGGGAUCAUCGUGGGAGAGAAAGGAAAAAAAGGUGUCUAAGAGUCAGAGGAACCUCAAAGAUGACAUCUAUUACCAUUUGAGGGACCUUCACAUCUCUGGAAAUUGAUGUCCCAAACACAGUUUGAUGGAGACAUGAACAAAAAUCUAUUUACCCCAGAUAGGGAGUCAACGACAGAUGAGAAGAAUGACUGUUUAAGUUCAGCUGCAUGAAGCAAUGAGUCUUGAGCUUACUCAUAGGAAUAUGGGUGAGGAAUUCUUCCCAGGAGAAUAGGCGACCAAUUAGCAUUUACAUGACUGAAGUCCUGCUCACCAUGGAUGGCCCAGAAGCUGCACUGAUGGAGGCAACUGUAACCGUCUACAUUCUAUGGACUCUAGUACCAUCCCUCCAAGGCAGCUGUGCAUCCUGGCCUCCCUCAAGAUGCUGCCGUUCCCACCGUAGUGUGUUCUCCAAAUGUUUGUAAUGGAGGGAGGAGGGAAUCGUCUCUCCUGCUCAGCCUCCCAGCAUGCAAUGCCAGCUUAGAGACCGAGCAGCAGCUUCAAUAAGAUUUCAUGGAACACUUUACUAUAAAAGAAGCCAGAAUAAACACAAAAAUAAACAAAUUACUGCCAAAGCUUCUUAUAGCUGAUGGGUUAAGUGCUAUAUUUAGGUUCCUUGACCAGUAUUCCUUCUUUGUCUUUGUCUCCUACCUCAGACCAGACAGAGAGGUGAAGUUCAUAUAAGUUACACAGAUAAACUUGAAGUUAAAACCAUGAUGAUCACUCAGGAAAUUAACAACGACCUCUCUAAAUAUGGGGUAGGCAGACUUCUCAAAGAAGAAUGUUAGUAAACAACUUACUGAAUAGAAAGAUAAAUAAAGUUUUAUC